UUUUUUUUAAUUUUUUUUUAAAAAAUAUUUUUUUUCUUUUUAGUAAUACUUUAAUUUAAACCUUUCACGUGGUAUGUUUAAUAUCACAAAAAUAUUUGACAUAAUAUUAAUUUAAGAUCACAAGAUUCAAAAAUUCUUUUUAUUUUUUAAAAUUCUGUAUCAGAUAAAAAUAUAUCAUUUUUUUGAAACACGAGUAUUGUAUCAUAUUGUACUGUUUUAAUGAACACGAUAUUUGCAUAGAUUAUAUGAUUUUCAUCGUUAUAUAAAUUCAUACAUCAAUAAUCUAAAGAAUAAAUCUACAUAAAAGUAUAGUAUGGAUAAGACUAUUAUAGAAAGAUAAGAGAAUGGCUAAAACAAGAUAUCACUUAAUUAGUAAAAAUCUAAAAAUAAAAAUUAUUAUAACAACGCAAUCGAAUAAAAUUGAUCAUUACAUAAAAUGUGACGAUCCUUCGAUAUCUAACCAUUAAUGGUAACCAUCCAAACACAUUGUACCUAACGCUAAAAUUUUCUUAUUUGGUCAAUUCCACCCUUCAAUUCACUCCAAUAUUACCAUUUUACCACUGGAUCUCUUCCUCUAUAUAAAUCAUUUUCCUCUAACAUGAAAAUCAUAACAUCACAAAAAAAAAAAAUAAAAAAAAUUAGUGAUAAAAAAAAUAUAUAUACAAAAAAAAAGGGUAGAGAUCUGAUCAAUGGCGUCCAUUACUAAAGUGCAGGUUGAUAACAAUGUGUUUCCACCAUCUGUUGUUAAACCUCCUGGUUCUAACACCACCUUGUUCCUUGCUGGUGCAGGGAUUAGAGGGGUGGAUAUUGAAGGAAAAUUUGUGAAGUGCACUGCGAUCGGGGUGUACAUGGAAGAGAGUGCCGUUCCAUUUCUUGCUGCUAAAUGGAAAGGGAAAAGCUCCAAGGAGUUGACCGAUUCAGUUGAAUUCUUCAGGGAUAUUGUUACAGGUCCCUUUGAAAAAUUCUUUCGAGUCACUAUGAUUACGCCCUUGACGGGUAAGCAAUACUCUGAGAAGGUGGCAGAAAAUUGUGUUGCCAAUUGGAAAGCAUUAGGAACCUACGGUGAUGCAGAGAGUGAGGCCAUCGAAAAGUUUCUCAGUGCUUUUCAGAGUGAAAACUUCCCACCUGGUGCCUCCAUCCUUUUUACUCAAUCACCGGCUGGGUCAUUGACGAUUAGCUUCUCUAAAGAUGAUUCAGUUCCUGGCACUGGGAAUGCUGUUAUAGAGAACAAACAACUGUCAGAAGCGGUGCUGGAAUCCAUAAUUGGCAAGCACGGAGUUUCACCUGCCGCAAAGAAUAGUCUUGCCAAAAGAGUAUCGGAAUUGUUAAAGAGCAACGCUGAGGCGCCAGUUUUUGAAAAACCAGCAAGUGAUCAACCUGCUAUCUAGUAAUGGACUACAGAAUUGAUCAGAAAUCUACCAUUUCAGAAAUUGAAGAAACAUCUGCCGUUCCAGAAAUUGGAGUUUACUUAGUACAAUAAAAAAGAGGGGAAUCAAUCGGCAAGAGUUAACGUCAAGAGCAAUAGCAUGGAAAGGAAUUGGCAAACAUUGACCCUGAGAAGAAAUAGGUUGGUUGAACUUCGUACUUCAAAUCGGAAAUGCUAUACUGAUACGUCUGAACUUUUUCCUUCAGUGAACGCUAUCAGAGGUUCCGAUUACUAUUUCAUGAACAACACACCAAAGUCUGCUUAUAUUAUGAACUUUUAUCGUGCUCAAAGUCUGCGGUUCUUUGUUCAUAUACAAAAUUGUCAAUUGACCUGGAAACUGGAAAUGCGUUAUUGUUGGCAGUAUCCCAUACCUUUCCUAGAAUUACUCUAUGCAGUAGCGAACGACUGAAUGAGAUAUGGGCUUAAGGAAGAUUUAGGUUUAAUUAUCUAUCAAAACACUGUUCUAGAGAAAAUUCUUGUUAAAUUCAAGGCAUAAUAUAUGAACUAACGCUCAAA